rnacentral:rRNA from 1 species
ACGGAAGGCAGCAGUGGGGGAUAUUGCACAAUGGGGGAAACCCUGAUGCAGCGACGCCGCGUGAGCGAAGAAGUAUUUCGGUAUGUAAAGCUCUAUCAGCAGGGAAGAAAAUGACGGUACCUGACUAAGAAGCUCCGGCUAAAUACGUGCCAGCAGCCGCGGUAAUACGUAUGGAGCAAGCGUUAUCCGGAUUUACUGGGUGUAAAGGGAGCGUAGACGGUUUGCCAAGUCUGAUGUGAAAGGUGGGGGCUCAACCCCCAAACUGCAUUGGAAACUGGUAGACUAGAGUGUCGGAGAGGUAAGUGGAAUUCCUAGUGUAGCGGUGAAAUGCGUAGAUAUUAGGAGGAACACCAGUGGCGAAGGCGGCUUACUUGACGAUAACUGACGUUGAGGCUCGAAAGCGUGGGGAGCAAACAGGAUUAGAUACCCUGGUA